rnacentral:rRNA from 1 species
UUCUCAAGCGAAAGAAGGGCAUUUGGUGGAUGCCUUGGCACCGAGAGGCGAUGAAGGACGUAGCACCUUGCGAUAAGCUUCGGGGAGAUGGGAGCGAUCUUUGAUCCGGAGAUUUCCGAAUGGGGCAACCCACCCCUUUAGGGGUAUCGGCGGCUGAAUUCAUAGGCCGUCGAGGCGAACCCGGCGAAUUGAAACAUCUCAUUAGCCGGAGGAAAGGACAUCAACCGAGACUCCGUCAGUAGUGGCGAGCGAACGCGGACCAGGCCAGUGGCCUGUCUGGAAGCAACCGGAACCGUCUGGAAAGGCGGGCGAUACAGGGUGACAGCCCCGUACGGGUAAGAGCCGGACAGGUCCUCGAGUAGGGCGGGACACGUGAAAUCCUGUCCGAACAUGGGGGGACCACCCUCCAAGCCUAAGUACUCCUCGGUGACCGAUAGUGAACCAGUACCGUGAGGGAAAGGUGAAAAGCACCCCGACGAGGGGAGUGAAAGAGACCUGAAACCGAAUGCCUACAAGCAGUGGGAGCAAGCUUCGGCUUGUGACCGCGUACCUUUUGUAUAAUGGGUCAGCGAGUUGAUUUGCGAGCGAGCUUAAGCCGUUAGGUGGAGGCGCAGCGAAAGCGAGUCUGAACAGGGCGCUUGAGUUCGCAGGAUCAGACCCGAAACCGGGUGAUCUAGCCAUGGGCAGGCUGAAGGUGGGGUAACACCCACUGGAGGGCCGAACCCACCACCGUUGAAAAGGUGGGGGAUGACCUGUGGCUAGGGGUGAAAGGCCAAUCAAACCCGGCAAUAGCUGGUUCUCCGCGAAAGCUAUUUAGGUAGCGCGUCGUGUGAUCGCCGUCGGGGGUAGAGCACUGGAUGGGCUAGGGGGCCCCACAGGCUUACCAAACCCAACCAAACUCCGAAUACCGACGAGCGCAGCGCGGCAGACAGACAGUGGGUGCUAAGGUCCACUGUCGAGAGGGAAACAGCCCAGACCGCCAGCUAAGGUCCCCAAGUCGUGGCUAAGUGGGAAAGGAUGUGGGAAGGCCAAGACAACCAGGAGGUUGGCUUAGAAGCAGCCAUCCUUAAAGAAAGCGUAACAGCUCACUGGUCUAGACAAGCCGUCCUGCGCCGAAAAUGUACCGGGGCUCAAGCCACGCACCGAAGCUGCGGGUGUCAGAGGACAGAUGUCAGAUGACAGAAAACAGAUGGCAGAGGACAGAAAAAGCGGGCGAUCGCUUCGUUCGAGGACCUGGAGGUCUUCCAGCGGGCGUAUCGACUGUCUCUUUCUGUGCAUCGAGCCAGUUUGAACUUCCCGGCCGUCGAGCAGCAUGCCUUGGCCGAUCAGGUUCGCCGAGCGAGCAAGUCGAUUUGCGCGAACCUGGCCGAAGGCUUUGGCAAGCAGUAUUCGACGGCGGAGUUCAAGCGUUUCAUUCUGAUGUCGAUCGGAUCCAGCGAGAGAUGCGCGUGUGGAUCCGUUACUGCGUCGAUCUCGGUUAUAUCGACGAAGAGACGUGGCGGCAGUGGCGGAACGAGUAUCACGAAAUCUCCAAGAUGCUUCAGGGAUUGCAUCGCAACUGGAGGUGAGUGCGGUUCUGUCGUCUGUCGUCUGUCGUCUGUCCUCUGACGCGGUAGCGGAGCGUUCCGUAAGCCUGUGAAGGGGGUCCGCGAGGGCCCCUGGAGGUAUCGGAAGUGAGAAUGCUGACAUGAGUAGCGACAAAGAGGGUGAGAAACCCUCUCGCCGCAAGUCCAAGGGUUCCUGCGCAAGGCUAAUCCGCGCAGGGUGAGCCGGCCCCUAAGGUGAGGGCGAAAGCCGUAGCCGAUGGGAACCUGGUUAAUAUUCCAGGGCCUGCCGGGCGUGACGAACGCCGUAAGUUGUCCGCGCUUAUCGGAUUGUGCGGGCGGCGAAGACGUUCCAGGAAACAACGCCGGCGAUAAGACCGUACCCGAAACCGACACAGGUGGACUGGUAGAGUAUACCGAGGCGCUUGAGAGAACGGUGUUGAAGGAACUCGGCAAAAUGCCCCCGUAACUUCGGAAGAAGGGGGCCCCGUUCCCGGGCAACCGGGGGCGGGGGGCACAGACCAGGGGGUGGCGACUGUUUACUAAAAACACAGGACUCUGCGAAGCCGCAAGGCGACGUAUAGGGUCUGACGCCUGCCCGGUGCCGGAAGGUUAAGAGGAGAGGUUCACGCCUUGAAUCGAAGCCCCGGUAAACGGCGGCCGUAACUAUAACGGUCCUAAGGUAGCGAAAUUCCUUGUCGGGUAAGUUCCGACCUGCACGAAUGGCGUAACGACUUCCCCGCUGUCUCCAACACCGGCUCAGCGAAAUUGAAUUCUCCGUGAAGAUGCGGAGUACCCGCGGUUAGACGGAAAGACCCCGUGCACCUUUACUACAGCUUUGCAGUGGUACUAGGGGAUGGAUGUGUAGGAUAGGUGGGAGGCUUUGAAGCCCGGGCGCCAGCCCGGGUGGAGCCAACGUUGAAAUACCACCCUUUUGUUCUCUGGUAUCUAACCGAGGCCCGUCAAUCCGGGUCCGGGACCCUGCAUGGUGGGUAGUUUGACUGGGGCGGUCGCCUCCCAAAGAGUAACGGAGGCGCGCGACGGUGGGCUCAAGCUGGUCGGAAAUCAGCUGUGGAGUGCAAUGGCAUAAGCCCGCCUGACUGCGAGAGCGACGGCUCGAGCAGAGACGAAAGUCGGCCAUAGUGAUCCGGUGGUCCCGCGUGGAAGGGCCAUCGCUCAACGGAUAAAAGGUACGCCGGGGAUAACAGGCUGAUCUCCCCCAAGAGUCCACAUCGACGG